GUGGGGAAUAUUGGACAAUGGGCGAAAGCCUGAUCCAGCCAUGCCGCGUGUGUGAAGAAGGUCUUCGGAUUGUAAAGCACUUUAAGUUGGGAGGAAGGGCAGUAAGUUAAUACCUUGCUGUUUUGACGUUACCGACAGAAUAAGCACCGGCUAACUUCGUGCCAGCAGCCGCGGUAAUACGAAGGGUGCAAGCGUUAAUCGGAAUUACUGGGCGUAAAGCGCGCGUAGGUGGUUUUGUAAGUUGGAAGUGAAAUCCCCGGGCUCAACCUGGGAACUGCCUCCAAAACUGCAUGGCUAGAGUACGGUAGAGGGGAGUGGAAUUUCCUGUGUAGCGGUGAAAUGCGUAGAUAUAGGAAGGAACACCAGUGGCGAAGGCGACUACCUGGACUGAUACUGACACUGAGGUGCGAAAGCGUGGGGAGCAAACAGGAUUAGAUACCCUAGUAGUCC
rnacentral:rRNA from 1 species